rnacentral:rRNA from 1 species
CAAUAGCGUAUAUUAAAGUUGUUGCAGUUAAAAGCUCGUAGUUGGAUUUCUGAUAUAUACUUAUGGUACUUCUUAGUUGACAGUAACCAUUUUGUAAUAUCAUUCAUCUGUUGAUUGUGCACUUAAUUGGGCAUAUUUUUCAGAUCUUUUACUUUGAGUAAAUUAGAGUGUUUCAAGCAAGUUACUGCUAUGAAUACUGCAGCAUGGAAUAAUAAGAUAGGACGUCGGUUCUAUUUUGUUGGUUUCUAGAGCCGAUGUAAUGAUUAAUAGGAACAGUUGGGGCGAUUCGUAUUCAACAGCUAGAGGUGAAAUUCUUAGAUUUGUUGAAGACGAACUACAGCGAAAGCAUUUGCCAAGGAUGUUUUCAUUAAUCAAGAACGAAAGUUAGGGGAUCGAAGAUGAUCAGAU